rnacentral:rRNA from 1 species
GACGAACGCUGGCGGCGUGCCUAAUACAUGCAAGUUGAGCGCUGAAGGCUGGUACUUGUACCAACUGGAUGAGCAGCGAACGGGUGAGUAACGCGUGGGGAAUCUGCCUUUGAGCGGGGGACAACAUUUGGAAACGAAUGCUAAUACCGCAUAAAAACUUUAAACACAAGUUUUAAGUUUGAAAGAUGCAAUUGCAUCACUCAAAGAUGAUCCCGCGUUGUAUUAGCUAGUUGGUGAGGUAAAGGCUCACCAAGGCGAUGAUACAUAGCCGACCUGAGAGGGUGAUCAGCCGCAUUGGGACUGAGACACGGCCCAAAGGCCUACGGGAGGCAGCAGUAGGGAAUCGUCGGGCAUGGACGAAAGUCUGAGCGAGCAACGCCGCGGGAGUGAAGAAGGUUGUCGGAUCGUAAAACUCUGUUGGUAGAGAAGAACGUUGGUGAGAGCGGAAAGCUCAUCGAGUGACGGUAACUACCCAGAAAGGGACGGCUAACUACGUG